UCGCGAGGCUGAAACACAGAUUCCCGUAAAAUCAUCAAGGUUAAGAAACAUCAAGCCUGGUUAGUACUUGUAUGGGUGACCGCUUGGGAAUACUAAGUGCUGUAA